GGGUGACUCAGGUGCACAUUAAGUUUUGAUUAACACUCGCUUAGACCAUCUGUAUAAACUUUAGUUUAUACAAGCAAAAGACAGGGAACUCUGUGAUGAAGAAAUCUCUAAGGACUCUGAGAAGAAUGGUCCUGUACUCGAGUUUGAGUUUUAAACUAGGAAAAUGACUAAUAAUUGAAAAUAAUGGGAACUCUGUGGAAUUUUCUUUGUAUGUCAUCAUGAAAUUGCUGUGUAACAAACAACCAAGAUCCAAAAUAGCAAGACUGGGAGAGUUUGUGUGCUGCAGGAAGAGACCAACAAGAAACAGAAGAUCAGUCAGUGCAUGGGUAGAUGACAUCUGUGCAUCCCAUUGUGUGAAAAAUAAUCUGCUGAUUUUGCCCUUUGUUCUAAAAUAAAUUCAUUACAUAGGCCAUAUCA
rnacentral:lncRNA from 1 species